rnacentral:rRNA from 1 species
GACUCCACGAAGUUGGAUUCGCUAGUAAUCGCGCAUCAGCCAUGGCGCGGUGAAUACGUUCCCGGGCCUUGUACACACCGCCCGUCAAGCCAUGGGAGCCGGGGGCGCCUGAAGUCCGGGACCGCGAGGACCGGCCUAGGGCGAAACUGGUGACUGGGGCUAAGUCGUAACAAGGUACC